UACGUAGGGUGCGAGCGUUAAUCGGAAUUACUGGGCGUAAAGCGUGCGUAGGCGGUUCGCUGUGUCCGAUGUGAAAGCCCCGGGCUUAACCUGGGAACUGCAUUUGUGACUGCAUCGCUGGAGUGCGGCAGGAGGGGGAUGGAAUUCCGGCGUGUAGCAGUGAAAUGCGUAGAUAUGCGGAGGAACACCGAUGGCGAAGGCAAUCCCCUGGGCCUGCACUGACGCUCAUGCACGAAAGCGUGGGGAGCAAACAGG
rnacentral:rRNA from 1 species